rnacentral:sRNA from 2 species
AUCAAUGAAAAACUCACUCCAAGAAACUAGAACGAUGAGAUACAGAGUGUUGCUCCUCUGUACCAGCUCUGCCCCUUACUUAUUUAUAUCCAGGCACAUCAGUAUUCUUCAGGACAUGUGCCACAACUUCAACCAUCUCAACCACCUUCUCCUCCUCCAGUCUCUUCCCGACCAGUUGCAGUGAAACAGGGGCUCCAUGGUAGAACUCAGGAUCAUAAUCCGCCUGUAUCAUUUCAUCUCUUGAAUCCAGCGGUACCCAGCCCUCACCGCGUGGAUGAUCGAUCGACUUGUCUGCAUAGGUUACCGGGAAUGUACAAGCGCAAUAAUCCAGCAAAUUCACGAAUCCAGUAUAUCCGAUAUAGUCCACCGACUCCCCCUGACCUAGACGGGGCGCACCUGAGGGGGCAACUGGGGCAAUUAUAGCAUCAAUGGGCCCGCCCGAAUCUGUCCUCGUUGCCAUCCACCGGUCGAGGAAAUCCUUUUGGAGCUGGUUUCGCUCCACGAUCAUCCGCCGCAAUUUCGCGGGAUCUAACUUUUCAGUCUUGUUCUUGUAUGCGCUGAAAGCCCGCUCCAUGGAGCCGAACAGUGGCUCCUUGUAUUCUUCUAAUAAUGGCAUGAUAGCAUCAGAUCCUAAUUCAUCAAAGGAUUCGUUGAGCAGUGAAACGAUCUCCCUGUGGCCAAUUGGUUCCCAGGUUAUCACAUCAUGUCCCGCAGCCUUCAAGGCGUUGCUAACGGUCGCCAACGCCCGCUCUACGGGUGGAUGGCAAGUUAUCACCCCGUCACUAGGUCCAAGGAUACCAAAUCGUAGCUUACGCCCCUUUGGCUGAAUAACGUCCUUUCGCCAUGGCAUGGGUAUGAUCUUCGGGUCCAGGUUCCAGGGCGCAGCGGUCUCGGAGAGAACCGAUUCACAAAACAACUUGACGGCGCCGAGUGAACUGGACAUCGGCCCGCAGACAGCAUAUACGAAGUCCUGGCCGGCUAUACUAGGCCUACCUCCUAAAGUCGAGAAGCGUCCGAAUGAUGGCUUGAGGCCAUAGAGCUGGCAGAAAGCGCUUGGGAUGCGGAUGCUACCGGCAAUAUCUGUUCCAACGCCCAACGGUGACGCUUUCAUUGCGAGAAGAGCUCCCUCACCACCACUGGAUCCUCCUGGAGUUAGCCCCUUGUGGAUAGGGUUUCUGGUUUCGCCCCAGACCCGAUUAGUAGUUUCUCCCAUCAUCAUAGCUGUGGGGACGUUGGUUUUCACGUAAAAGACUGCACCCAGGUCUCGAAGCAUGGUUACGAGGACGGAGUCCUUCUCGGUGGGAACGUUCGCAUGCACCGCCAUACCGAUUGAUGAUGGAUGAGGACAAGUGACAAAAUUGUCUUUCAGAGAUAGCGGCAAACCGUGGAGUGGUCCUAGGACAGACCCAGUGCGUUCCAGGUAUUCAUCGAGAUACUUUGCCCUCUCCAGGCCUUCAUUGAACAGGACUUCCGUUACACAGUUCGUCUAAGAAUAGGAUAUUAGUAUUUUUUUUUUUUUUUUUGCAAGGGUAAAGCUUAUCGCUGGUAUGAUCAACGUACAAGUUUUUGCGCAAUCACAGUCGCCCGGCAGAAUGCAUUUGUUACAUCGACGGAGGUCAACUUUCUCUCUCUUAUCUUUUGCAGAAGGGUUUCGGCAUCGGAAUCGACGAUUUCUAGUUCCUCCGGUGAAAGGAGUCCCGAGGUUUUUGGGAACGAUCUCAGGUCUUGAGGCAGGCUGUCCUCUGCAAUAUCAGUGAGCGGGAAGAAGGCCGACAGCGAGUCAUUUCGCCGUUUCUGCACGAUAGCUGAGAUUUCCUUAUAUGUUUGGCCCAUUUUUGAUUCCAACGAAAUCCAGUAGUUAGUUACUUAGUAGUUAACGCGGGAUGAAAUAUGUUUCUUAUCAAGCAGACAAGCCAUGUCCUUUUGUAUAUAAAGAUUGCCGGAAAGGGACUGAGGGGCAAUUGGUGGGUGGGACAGGUAACAAGGCUUGCUCGGAUGACCAGCUGCAGAACGUGGCGCAAUCUUUUCGGGAUUGUAUUGUAUAUGUCCCUCGAAUGAGCGUUGCUCGAUAGAAGCCGAAAUCAUUACCGCAAUAUAGGAUCUAAAAUAACCUCGGGCAUGGCACAACCAAGAUCAUUCUGAGGAAAAACUUCGGGAUCAGUUCCAAGGCAAAAUGCCGAUUCGACACCAGGACUGAGGAAACAAGGCGAGAAACUUACUCUGAGCGGAUCAGAACCACGGGACGGC